AUUGAACGCUGGCGGCAUGCCUUACACAUGCAAGUCGAACGGUAACGCGGGGCAACCUGGCGACGAGUGGCGAACGGGUGAGUAACGCAUCGGAACGUGCCCAGUAGUGGGGGAUAGCCCGGCGAAAGCCGGAUUAAUACCGCAUACGACCUACGGGUGAAAGGGGGGGAUCGCAAGACCUCUCGCUAUUGGAUCGGCCGAUGUCCGAUUAGGUAGUUGGUGGGGUAAAGGCCCACCAAGCCUUCGAUCUGUAGCUGGUCUGAGAGGACGACCAGCCACACUGGGACUGAGACACGGCCCAGACUCCUACGGGAGGCAGCAGUGGGGAGUUUUGGACAAUGGGCGCAAGCCUGAUCCAGCCAUGCCGCGUGCGGGAAGAAGGCCUUCGGGUUGUAAACCGCUUUUGUCAGGGAAGAAACGCUCUGGGCUAAUACCCCGGGGUAAUGACGGUACCUGAAGAAUAAGCACCGGCUAACUACGUGCCAGCCGCCGCCGUAA
rnacentral:rRNA from 1 species